ACGUGCCAGCAGCCGCGGUAAUACGUAGGGUGCGAGCGUUAUCCGGAUUUAUUGGGCGUAAAGGGCUCGUAGGCGGUUCGUCGCGUCCGGUGUGAAAGUCCAUCGCCUAACGGUGGAUCUGCGCCGGGUACGGGCGGGCUUGAGUGCGGUAGGGGAGACUGGAAUUCCCGGUGUAACGGUGGAAUGUGUAGAUAUCGGGAAGAACACCAAUGGCGAAGGCAGGUCUCUGGGCCGUUACUGACGCUGAGGAGCGAAAGCGUGGGGAGCGAACAGGAUUAGAUACCCUGGUAGUCCACGCCGUAAACGGUGGAUGCUGGAUGUGGGGCCCUUUCCACGGGUCCCGUGUCGGAGCCAACGCGUUAAGCAUCCCGCCUGGGGAGUACGGCCGCAAGGCUAAAACUCAAAGAAAUUGACGGGGGCCCGCACAAGCGGCGGAGCAUGCGGAUUAAUUCGAUGCAACGCGAAGAACCUUACCUGGGCUUGACAUGUGCCGGAUCGCCGUGGAGACACGGUUUCCCUUCGGGGCCGGUUCACAGGUGGUGCAUGGUCGUCGUCAGCUCGUGUCGUGAGAUGUUGGGUUAAGUCCCGCAACGAGCGCAACCCCCGCCGCAUGUUGCCAGCGGGUGAUGCCGGGAACUCAUGUGGGACCGCCGGGGUCAACUCGGAGGAAGGUGGGGAUGACGUCAGAUCAUCAUGCCCCUUACGUCCAGGGCUUCACGCAUGCUACAAUGGCCGGUACAACGCGGUGCGACACGGUGACGUGGGGCGGAUCGCUGAAAACCGGUCUCAGUUCGGAUCGCAGUCUGCAACUCGACUGCGUGAAGGCGGAGUCGCUAGUAAUCGCGGAUCAGCAACGCCGCGGUGAAUGCGUUCCCGGGCCUUGUACACACCGCCCGUCAAGUCAUGAAAGUGGGUAGCACCCGAAGCCGGUGGCCCGACCCUUGUGGGGGGAGCCGUCUAAGGUGAGACUCGUGAUUGGGACUAAGUCGUAACAAGGUAGCCGUACCGGAAGGUGCGGCUG
rnacentral:rRNA from 1 species